rnacentral:rRNA from 1 species
GACGAACGCUGGCGGCGUGCUUAACACAUGCAAGUCGAGCGGUAAGGCCCUUUCGGGGGUACACGAGCGGCGAACGGGUGAGUAACACGUGGGUGACCUGCCCUUAGCUCUGGGAUAAGCCUGGGAAACUGGGUCUAAUACCGGAUAUGACUCCAUGACGCAUGUUGUGGGGUGGAAAGCCUUGUGCGGCUAGGGAUGGGCCCGCGGCCUAUCAGCUUGUUGGUGGGGUGAUGGCCUACCAAGGCGACGACGGGCAGCCGGCCUGAGAGGGUGACCGGCCACACUGGGACUGAGACACGGCCCAGACUCCUACGGGAGGCAGCAGUGGGGAAUCUUGCGCAAUGGGCGAAAGCCUGACGCAGCGACGCCGCGUGAGGGAUGACGGCCU